rnacentral:rRNA from 1 species
AGAGAGCUUGCUCUCGGGUGACGAGUGGCGGACGGGUGAGUAAUGUCUGGGAAACUGCCUGAUGGAGGGGGAUAACUACUGGAAACGGUAGCUAAUACCGCAUAACGUCGCAAGACCAAAGAGGGGGACCUUCGGGCCUCUUGCCAUCAGAUGUGCCCAGAUGGGAUUAGCUAGUAGGUGGGGUAACGGCUCACCUAGGCGACGAUCCCUAGCUGGUCUGAGAGGAUGACCAGCCACACUGGAACUGAGACACGGUCCAGACUCCUACGGGAGGCAGCAGUGGGGAAUAUUGCACAAUGGGCGCAAGCCUGAUGCAGCCAUGCCGCGUGUAUGAAGAAGGCCUUCGGGUUGUAAAGUACUUUCAGCGGGGAGGAAGGUGUUGCGGUUAAUAACCGCAGCAAUUGACGUUACCCGCAGAAGAAGCACCGGCUAACUCCGUGCCAGCAGCCGCGGUAAUACGGAGGGUGCAAGCGUUAAUCGGAAUUACUGGGCGUAAAGCGCACGCAGGCGGUCUGUCAAGUCGGAUGUGAAAUCCCCGGGCUCAACCUGGGAACUGCAUUCGAAACUGGCAGGCUAGAGUCUUGUAGAGGGGGGUAGAAUUCCAGGUGUAGCGGUGAAAUGCGUAGAGAUCUGGAGGAAUACCGGUGGCGAAGGCGGCCCCCUGGACAAAGA